rnacentral:lncRNA from 1 species
CUGAAUGACCAUAGCCUCCUGCUGUGCUAGGUGACUGUGAUUGACCAUAAACAGGUGGAUUUGCACUUGGCUUCUGAGAGGGAGGAGCACCAUAACUAGGUCCAUAACCAGACUGUGGUUGACUUCCAUAGGCCGCUUGGGUGGUAGGGGCUACCGCAUAACCUGGUUGAGGAGUUUCUGGUUGGUUGGUAGCAUAACCUUGCUGAGCAACAGUAGUGGGUUGGGAAGUUUGGGAGGUAUCCGCUUGUGAUCCAUAGUUGGAAGUGUGCCCCUCUUGGGUUGGAUUACUCCCACUUCCAUAACUUGGAGCAGAGCCAUAACCUUGUUGCUGAUCAUAAGUUUGUGGCUGACCAUACCCAGAUUGUUGUUGUGCAUUAUACGCACCAUAGCUUUCCUGACCAUAACCCUGUCCUGGUUGGCUAUAACCAGAGGAAGGAGGUUGACUGUAACUGUAUCCAGACCCAUCAGCUGGCUGUGGAGGACCCCCAGGAUUUUGCUGUUGCUGGGGUUGUUGGUUGUAAUAAUCAUAACCACUUGCAUGAGUAGACUGCUGGUGAGAUGGUGCGGUGGAUUGGUCCCAGUUGGCGGAAUAUCCACCGGGUUGCUGAGGAGGAUAGCCUGCAUAUGGUGGCUGAGGCAUGUUAUACUGCGGUGAUGGACCAGAGUAUGAUCCAGGUUGCCCAUAGCCAUAACCAGCUUGUUGCACAGGAGCAGGAGGAGGAGCCCAGCUAGACGGUGGUCGGGAUUGGUAACCUUGCUGAGUAUAACCACCGGAGUUCCCUGAAUUUCUGAGACGAUUCUGCAGAGAGAAACAUCACAACCACAAAUUAAAAAGGCAGCUCGACCAACGUAUCAAAACAUAAAAAUAUACGAAGCAAUAGACGUACACAAAAAAUGGGUGUCAAAAUAUGCAUAACCUCAUUUCCAUUGAUGCCAAUAAAAAUUAGUCAUAAUUUCAAUAAGCUGAUUGUCAAGACAACAGAUAUUUUACUCACUACAAGAGCUCAAGUAUGGGAAACUAAAUCCAAAUAUACAGACCGUACUUCACUAAGCCCCAAGUACAUUGAAACAAUCCUUUCAACCUUCCCUCAACCCAAUCUAACAGGUCAGCCUAAACAAACUAUGAAAUAAAAGCUAAUAAAACUGAUUAGUGAGUGCCAUUAUAAUUGAAAGUGAAUUUAACAUAGGAAAUAGCUAUUCUUUAUAUGUAGAUGAGCACAAGUCCCAAGGAUAAAACUAUGCCAAAUGAAAGUUGAGCAUAUGACCCAACGAUAAGAAAUAUUUUAAGUAUAAGUUCUUACGAACAAUGACAGAAACACACAAAUGGCCUUGUUGAAGAGAAUUUUAAACAAAAUCCAACAGAGAGGAACAUAAAUAGAGACAAUGACUAAGAGUACUCAAAGUGUUGUCUAAUUUUAUGGCUGACAUACACAAUCAACAAGUCAAGAUUCAAAAGGGACAUAAAGUUGAUAAAUCAUAGCUACUGCGGUCUCCAGUCUGAGUUAUCAUGGUUUCAUUUGGCAAGCUUAUGCAACCAUACUGUAAAAAUAUGAGCACCUUAUUUUUACAAAAGGCGGAGAAUAAAAAAUGAAUAACAAUUUUGUAGGGACUAAACUCAAAAGGUCCAUAAUUAUAUAAGGUAAUUGUAUAAGAACUUCAAACAUAUUUAAUCCUAAAACUAAACAUGGUUAUAAACCCAUAAUUUUAAACUUAAAAGAGAUUUGGCACAUUCCAUCCAAAAAUGAUAAGCCAGAUAAAACAAAAAAUUGUGUUGAUAACAUACCUCACCAGUGAGGAUUUGAUUAACCAAUUGCUUUGCUGAUUCAAUCUGAUCAGGGGUCCCAUCGAUUUUUAAUGUUCUUUCUGUUGAUGUAUCACCUGGGGGAGGAUGCAAAGGUAUCACCUAAAAAAAUUGACAAUAUUAGUAAAAGUUAAAAUGAAUAGGAAAUCCAAGUCUUGAGAGUCGGGCAGUCAGCUGUUAACAGCAUCUAACUAGAAUCUAACUUUUAACAUAAUCAUGAUUAAGAAACUAUAUAUCGAACAAGAAACGAAGACAAAAGCGCAAGAGAGAACCUGAAUUCGUGCUCCGGUAGAAGCUUGCAUACUCUUUAUUGUUUCUCCUCCUUUACCGAUUAUAAGGCCAACCUAAAGAUGCACACAAGAAACCACAUCAACCCAAAUGAGAAUAAACAAAACACUGCCAAAAAACAUGCCCGCAACUGGAUAUAUUUCCUUCCCACACCUUAUUGUUUGGUAUUUGCAUCACAAAUUCAUCACCCCCAGAUUGUGCAACCAUCCGUCUAGUUCCACCGCCAGAAGCCCCAGCUUCAGCCUAGUUAAUAAACAACAUGUAUCAGUAAUGUUUCACAAACAGGUCAAAGUUACACCAAUUCCAACAUCAUUUGAGCAUAUUUAUUCAUGAAAUACUUCAUAUUAUAGUUACAGAAUCAGUAGAAAACAACUCUUAUCAGUGAUGUCUCACUAACAGUAUACAGUUACAGCAAUUCAACAUCACUUCGUUUGAGCAAAUUUAUCGUGAAAUACUUCAUACUACAGAUACAAAAUCAGUUGAAACAAGUGAUGUUUAUUGAACAUAUUAAAGUUUAUGCCACUCGAACAUCAUUUGAGCAAAUUCAUAAUGAAAUGAUUGUCAUCAAUGUUUUACUAACAGGUUAAAUUAAUGUCGUUCAAGCUUCAUUUGAGCAAAUUUAUCGUGAAAGACUUCAUACUGCAGGCACAGAAUAAGUUGAAAACAAUUCCUAUUGGUGAAGACAACUCCUAUCGUGAAAUAUUUCGUACCUAUCGUGAAAUCGUGAAAUACUUCGCUAAGAGGUAAAGUUACAGUCAUUUGAACAUCGUUUGAGCAAAUUCGCCAUGAAAUUGUGCAAUAUUAGAAGAAAACAACUCUCAUCACAGAUACUUCACUAACAAUUUACAGUUAACAGUUGCAAAAUCCGUUGAAAACAACAAUUUCACUAACAUCUUACCUUUACCGUCAUUUAAACAUCAUUUGAGCAAAAUUGAUCAUAAUUCAUAAAGCACAUCAUAUCACAUAUACAAAAUCAGUCAGAUACAACAAAAUCAGACUACAGUUGCACCAACUUCUACAUCAUUUGAGCAAAUUUAUCAUAAAACACUUCAUAUGACAGUUACAAAAUCAACUCCUAUUGAAACUCCAUACAACAGUUAUCAAAUCAGUUCAAACCAGCUCUAAUCAAUGAUAUUUCACUAAGGUAACAGUUACGGUGAUUUCAAAACAACAAUUGAGCAAAUUAAUCACGACAUACUUCAUAUAACAGUAAAAAAAACAGUUCAAAACAACUCAUAUCAAUGAUUUUCCCUAAAACGUAACAAUUACAGUAAUUCAAAAAAUAUGAAUUAAUCAAAUUGUUAUCAGUAAACACGAGUUUAAAACAAACAAACCUCGGCAAGGACUUCAUUGAUGAGUUUCUCAGCAGAAGAAACAGCAUCAGGAGUACCCAUAAGUUCAACCAUCCUAGUCUGAGAAUUAGGAUCAGCAUCCAUAUCACGAGUAACUUGAAUCUUAGCACCAGAUUGCAUCUGAAGAUACUUAAUAGUUUCACCUCCUUUACCAAUAAGAACACCAACCCUACCAUUAGGUAUUUCAAUCUUCUUACUAGAACCAUAACUACCACCUUGUUGUGAAUAUUGCGGCUUCAAAUCGUAAGAAUCAAACCCCGAGUGUGGAGCACCGUUAUCGGACUUGGUUCGUUUGGGAUCGUAGGAGAGUGGUGGAGCGCCGGUGACGCUGAGAAGACGAGCGGCGACUUCUUGAGCUCGUUGUUUGGCGUUUGCGACUUCGAGUUCGAUGUCAGUGGCGGUGGGUUGGUCAUCGUAUUUACGUUUUAGGGUUGCGUACUGUGCUUCUUCCGCCAUUGAAACAAACCCUAGAGGGAAGAAGAAAGUGAAAACACGAUGUGUGAAGGAAUUGGAUUAGGUUUUGAAAACACGAUGUGCUACUGGUCAUUUCAGAUACUAGAGAAGAGGUAAAAUUUUACUCGGACUUAAAUCUAAUUUUUAAUCACACAAAAAAAAAACCAAUUAAAAAAUGUAAAAUAAGAAUUUAACUAUCAUAUUUUUUUUUUUGGAAGGAAAUUUAACUAUCAUAUUUUAAAAAUUCAAUUAAAAAAAAGUAAUAUAAGAAUUUUUUUGACAAAAGUAAUAUAAGAAUUUAAUUAACAUAUUCUAAAAGUUUGGACUUAUAUAUAAAAAUCGUUGAUGGUCGUUAUUGAAUUUUAAGAUUUAUGAGUGGGUUCUUUUUGCCUAAAAAAAUAUUGUAAAAAUUAAAAAAAAUAUAUAUGAAUGGUAUUUUGAUUAAAAUUAUAGUACGAAUCGUUAGGUAUAUAUUUGUAAUUUAGUAAUUUGAAAAAUAAAUAAAUUGAAGAUUUCAUCAUAUUUCAUCCAAAUUAGAGGGUAAGCAAAACCAAAGUAAGUGGUGGAACAUGAUGGAAUGCAUGUUAUUGAGUUUUAUUCCAUCCCAUCCUUUUAAUGAUUAUUCAAACAAUGAAAUCUUAAUUUAUUCCAUUUCAUCCUACUUCAUUCCAUCACAUUCCAUCAAUUCAGACAUAGCCUUAGUGUUACGGUAGAUAUGUAGUUUGAUUUGGUUCGGAUGACAAAAUAAAAACCACAACCAAACACGAUUUAUUGCGGUUUUCGUUUUAAUUGGUUCCGUUUACGUUUCUAUUGAGUCACUAGGUUUUGAACACUCAUAAAUACUUGUUUGCGUGCGUAUAUGUAUAUGUGCAUAUAGUCACUAGAGGUGUUCAAAACCGAACCAACCCAAUAGAAAAACCGCAAACCAAACCAAUCCAACCCGAAAUCGCAAAAAACCGCACUUGGUUCAGAUGAAUUCGGAUGACUUUUGCAAUGAACCGCGCGGUUCGGUUUGGUUUGCGGUUUGCAUCUCAGCAGCCGAACCAAACCAAACCAAACCGCAAGAAUCAUGAAUAUUACUUAAACAUGUACUAGCCCAAUUACUGCACAAACUGAACCAAUCCAAACCGCAUUGGUUUGGUUUGGAUGAAUUUUUAAAAAUCAACCGAACCAACCAAACCGCAUGCUUUUUUAUCUCGUAGUUUGGGUUUUAUGCUCAAAACUGAACCAAACUACGUCGCGGACACCCCUAAUAGUCACUCUAAAAAGACAUUUAUAAAGGAACCGAAGGAGUGCUAUUAAAAAAUUAUUGUUAAUUGUUAUAUGGCUAAAAUAUGUUUUUGGUCCUUGCAAAUAUGGUGAGUUUGGAUUUUGGUCCCUGGUAAUUUUUUUUUUUUUAAAAAUUCAUCCCUGCAAAAAUUUUUGUUUUUUAAAAUAGUCCUUGACUCCACUUUAUUGAUGAUUUGACGCAUUUCUUCUACACACGUGGCUUUCGUUGACUGUGGAAGAACGUACACAUGGCACACAAGUGGCAAUUGCCUUAUUUAAAAUAUUUAAAAAUCAUUUUAAUUAAAAUUAAAUUUAGUUUUCAAAUUUAAAAAAAGAUUUAAUUAAAUUAAAAAAUUAAAGAAUCAGCAUUCUUUUCAUCUCUUCUUCUUCUCCAACCCUUUUCUUCUUAUUCUUCUUCUGCAAUAACACAACAUCUGUUUCACCAUCUUCACCAUUUUUCCAUCAUCAUUAAAACCAAUCAAAACCACAUUCAAUUGUAGAGAAAAUGGGAGAAAGAUAUCCAGAAUCUGAGGAGCAAAUCCAUAAACGAAAUCAAAUCUCAACGCAACAAAAAUCAAAUCUUAAACAAAAUCAAAUCUUCUCCAUCACAUCGCAGCAAAAUCAAAUCUUAAACAAAAUCUCAAAUUUGAGUAGCAAACCCAUAAACGAAAUCAGACGAACCCAGAAGCGAAAACGAGUGAGAAUCGUCUCCGGUAGUCAGAUCUGGUGGUUGGUGACUGAGCGGUGAUGAUGGCGGUUCAUGUUGUAGCGCGACGAGGACGGUGGCGGAGGAGUUUUAAUUUGCGGUGGCUUGAGAUGGGCUGAUGGCAAAUCUUGGUUGCUGUUAGUUUUUGUUUAUGAAUUGGAAACAAAUGAUGUUUUGUCAUAAUUGAGUUCAUGGUGAACUGUAGAUUGUGAUGUGAUGUUGUGUUUCUUACCUCCAUUGCUUCUCUCUUGUUGUUACUGUUCUAGAUCCAAAGAGAUGGUCUCUCUUGGUGUUCAGUUCUUAAUACAUGUUUUGGUCCUUAACUUAUUUUCGGAUUUUAUUUUGGUCCUCUAACUAUAAAGUGUCUCAAUUUGAUCUCUUAUGUUUUCUCCGUUACCUCUUUUGGUCUUCUCCCUUAGGUUGUUUUCAAAAAUAGUUAACCCUUGUCCACAUGUCAUUUAAGAUUGGAGAUUAAGGGUUAGAUUUAAAAAGUAUACAAUGAGCUCACAACAUACAAUCAUUUCUAUUUUUCUUGAUUUUCCUAAAAAUAUAAAUUUAAAAUCACCAUCAAUCUACAUCUUUUUAUAUAUUUUGAAAAUAAUUUGUAUCCAGAUUUUUAAAAAUUAAAAUAUUUUUCAGAAUUUUGUAGAAAAAAAUAAAAAAAAAUCUGACCUUUUUUUUUAAAAUUUCGUAAUAAAAUUAUUUUUUUUCAAAUUUUGAAAAAGAUUUUAUAAAAUUCAAGAAUAACUUUUUUUUUCAUAUUUUAUAAAAAUCUGAAUUUUUUUAUAUAUUUUUCAAAAUUAAAAUAUUUUCCAGAAUUUUGUAGAAAAAAUUAAAAAUAACCUUUUUUUUCGAAGAAAAAUAUGAUCUUUUUUUAUAACCUUUUUAAAUUCUGAAUUUUUUAAAUUAAAAUAUUUUCCAGAAUUUUGUAGAAAAAUUUGUAUCCAGAAUUUUAAAAAUUAAAAUAUUUCCCAGAAUUUUGUAGAAAAAAUUUAAAAAAACAUUUUUUUUCGGAAAUCUGACCUUUUUUUGAAAUUUCGUAAAAAAAUAAAUUUUUAAAUCUUGGAAAAGAUUUUAAAAAAAUUCUGGAAUAUUUUUUUGGAUAAUGUUUUAUGUACACACUUUUUUCCAUACACACAUUGUACCACUUCAUGUGAGAGUGUGUGAGAGACAAUACAUUUGAGUUUUUUUGUGUGUGGGGGGGACCACAAGGACACUUGUCAAAAUUGUAUGUGGGUGUACAAGUGGUACAUGUCACCUAAGGUGGUUUAUGUAUCACCACUCAUUUUUUUUCCUUCUAAUUUUAAAAUAUGAAUUUUUUAUAUAUUUUUCCAGAUUUUUAAAAAUUAAAAUAUUUUUCAGAAUUUUGUAGGAAAAAAUUAAAAAAACCUUUUUUUUCGAAAAAAAAAACUGACCUUUUUUAAAAAUUUCGUAAAAAAAUAAAUUUUUUUAAUUUUGAAAAUGAUUUUAAAAAAAUCUGGAAUAUUUAAAAUAUGAAUUUUUUAAUAUAUUUUUUGCUUCAAAAAAAUCAGGUGUUAAUCAUUCACCGUAGGCUACAAUAAACCUACAUGAUCCAACGGUUUCUAUUUGAAAAAUAGAUCAAAAAGUUAAAAUGUAACGGAGAGGACCAAAAGAGGUAACGGCAUAAGACAUAAGGGACCAAAUUGAGACACUUUAUAGUUAGGGGACCAAAAUGAAAUCCGAAAAUAAGUUAAGGGACCAAAGCAUGUAUUAAGCCAUAAAUUUAUGAAUUUUCCACCUUUUCUGCAGUUUCUUUAAUUUUUAAUCACUUAAUUAAACUUAAUUGAUUUUUUAUUUUAAUUUCAAAAGUAUAUUUUUUUAUUUUAAAAAAUGGUUUUUAAAUAAUUAAAUUGAAACAAUUGUCAUGUGGCUGCCAAUUGUGCAUAAUUACACAGUCAGUGAAUGUCACGUAGGCAGAAAUGCGCCAAAUCAUCAAUAAAAUGGGGUCAAGGACUAUUUUAAAAUACAAAAAAUUUUGCAGGGAUGAAUUUCAAAAAAGAAAUUUACCAGGGACCAAAAUCCAAACUCGUCAUAUUUGCAGGGAUCAAAAACAUAUUUUAGCUUGUUAUAUUUGUUGAAGGAAGUUAAUGCAAAUUAAAUUCGCUAAAUAAAAUCUAUGAUUUAUUAUGUCAAGAGAAAAGUCAAAUAAAUAUAAGUUAAUAACUUAAAAUAUAUUUGAUUUAAAGAUAUUGAUCAUAAACAAGUUAUUUAACUUUACUAACAAAAAAAAUUGCAUUGAUGAUAAUAUUUAAAAUGUCAUGUUAAUAUAAAUAAAUAAAAAAACAUUUUUUACACUUUUGUAAUGCAUAAAAAGAGAGAAAACCAAUCAAACAUAUCUUAAAAGAGAGAUGAUCCAGAAGCAAAGAGGAUACGGAUUUUGUAAUGCAUAAAAAAAUGAAAACCAAUCAAGACUGCACAAAUAAUACAUGGCAUUUUUUUUUUUUUGACGAAAUACAUAAUGACAUGUUGAUCAUACAGAUUUCAGAUAUGAUUUUGUUCGGACUAAGAAAAUAACACCUAUGCUGCAUGUUGAAUCAAAAGCUCCUGCUAUCAUAAGCUACUGCUAUCAUGUGAUAUCAUACAGAGCUCUACUGAGAUCUCCUGAAAUAUGUAACUUAUACAUAUAAAAUCCUUCUUACAUUUUCAAAAAACUUAGGUUUAUUUAAGUAUUCUGUGUUCAUUUUAGUAAUGUCUUUUAACAUAUAUUCCACGGUUGCACCAAAAUUCUGCAAAUGGCAUGUAACUUCGCAGCUCAUUUCAGGAAAAUUCUUUCCUUUUGAAAUGAAAGAUACGGGGAUCAAACCAUACAACUUUUAAAAGGAAAAUGCUAGUCUAACGCUGGAUUCAGUACAAUUUGUUAGCUCCUAUUCAACCUUCCGGAAAAUAUUCAAGUACCAAAAUAAGUUUGUUUUCAUCUAGACACUGCAAUGCCAUAUAGAUGUUGCUAUCAAAAUGGGAGGAAAAAAAAUUAAAACCACAUCCCAAAGGACCAUAAUAAAAUCACAAAAGACAAAUCAACUCUUGGGUGAGACUUUAGCAACACCGCCCUGUGGAACAGCCUGUGCAGUUGCUCCAUCGCUAGCAUAUGCUGGAGCCUGAGCAUAACCAGCACCAUAAGAACUAUUUCCAUAUGACGCUGGAGUCUGGCCAUAGCUAGGCUGGCCACCUUGAGGAGCACCAUAUGAUUGCGGACCAUACCCUGGUUGCACUGGUGCUCUCUGAGUUCCUAACUCUGGUUGAGCAUAUCCAGAAGGUGGGGCCUGGCUAGAGGGAUAUGCUGACUGACCAUAGCCUGCUGCUGUGCUAGGUGACUGUGACUGACCAUAAACAGGUGGAUUUGCACUUGGCUUUUGAGAGGGAGGAGCACCAUAACCAGUUCCAUAACCAGACUGUGGUUGACUUCCAUAGGUCGCUUGGGACGUAGGGGCUAC